rnacentral:rRNA from 1 species
GACGAACGCUGGCGGCGUGCUUAACACAUGCCAGUCGAACGGAAAGGCCCUGCUUUUGUGGGGUGCUCGAGUGGCGAACGGGUGAGUAACACGUGAGUAACCUGCCCUUGACUUUGGGAUAACUUCAGGAAACUGGGGCUAAUACCGGAUAGGAGCUCCUGCUGCAUGGUGGGGGUUGGAAAGAUUCGGCGGUUGGGGAUGGACUCGCGGCUUAUCAGCUUGUUGGUGGGGUAGUGGCUUACCAAGGCUUUGACGGGUAGCCGGCCUGAGAGGGGGACCGGCCACAUUGGGACUGAGAGACGGCGCAGACUCCUACGGGAGGCAGCAGUGGGGAAUAUUGCACAAUGGGCGGAAGCCUGAUGCAGCAACGCCGCGUGCGGGAUGACGGCCUUCGGGUUGUAAACCGCUUUCGCCGGUGACGAAGCGUGAGUGACGGUAAUGGGUAAAGAAGCACCGGCUAACUACGUG